CCUUUAACCUGAGGAAGCAUUAUGUUUUGUGCCUGCCCUUCAUCGUUAGGUAGGAUAGUAGAAAGCCCAAGUGUCACUCCUUGGCAAGAAUCAUCAAUUCUCCGUGUCCUGGUAAGCAAGGACAGCAGACAUAACUGAAGAAAUCAAGUGUGCAACACCUCCCAGAAGAGAUACAGGCCAACUUGGACAGAGAACUAAUGGACCAUUCCAGAGAAAAUGCAAUAGACCACUAAAACUCAAAGACGACGCAAUUCUGAUACAGAUCAAUAUUUAAUAUAUUUUAAUUGAUGAGCAAGAAGAUUAAUUAUAAAAAGGAUGAAAGAUAAAGAAGAGAGUCCAAUAUGAUUGACUUCAACACCAUCUGUAAAUGGAGAACAAUUAGGGCGCCAGUCUUACUGCUGAUUAUGUGUCAAGUCUUGAACAUCAUCCCACAUUGUCUGAAAAAUGAGCCCCACCAUGGCUUUGCACUAUGCAGUGAGAUGGGAACGUAAAGGAUAACCUGGUGGGAGAACGUCCACUAUUAAAAAAAAGACAGAGAGAGA